rnacentral:sRNA from 1 species
GCCGCGCAAGCGCCGUAGGCAGGAGCGGGGGACCCAGGUAAGUGCCGUGAGGACCGCCCGCGCGGACCGACCGGCUAGGGGUGAAGCCCAGUGCGGGAGCACUCGGCAGGGCCGCUCACAGCCCCAACCCGACAGCUCACCUCGCAGGCGUCGGUGAGAGAGACG